UGGGGAAUAUUGGACAAUGGGCGAAAGCCUGAUCCAGCCAUGCCGCGUGUGUGAAGAAGGUCUUCGGAUUGUAAAGCACUUUAAGUUGGGAGGAAGGGCAUUCACCUAAUACGUUAGUGUUUUGACGUUACCGACAGAAUAAGCACCGGCUAACUCUGUGCCAGCAGCCGCGGUAAUACAGAGGGUGCAAGCGUUAAUCGGAAUUACUGGGCGUAAAGCGCGCGUAGGUGGUUUGUUAAGUUGGAUGUGAAAUCCCCGGGCUCAACCUGGGAACUGCAUUCAAAACUGACUGACUAGAGUAUGGUAGAGGGUGGUGGAAUUUCCUGUGUAGCGGUGAAAUGCGUAGAUAUAGGAAGGAACACCAGUGGCGAAGGCGACCACCUGGACUAAUACUGACACUGAGGUGCGAAAGCGUGGGGAGCAAACA
rnacentral:rRNA from 1 species